GAAGUUGCAUGAAGUGGAUCGAAGCAACAAAACGUGGUGGACUAGAACAAGGCGACCUGAAGAAGAGGAGCACUGAAGAAGUCAAGACUCGGCGAGACCGGGCAAACUUGGCCCUUUUUAUAGUCUUUACUCCAUUCUCAUUACACGACAACGAGCAAAGAGGGGCAGCUGUACGGGCCCAAUUUUGCUCGGGCCCGAUAUAAUAAAACUAAUUAGCCCGAGCCCAAAACACAAAAAAAAC
rnacentral:lncRNA from 1 species